GACGAACGCUGGCGGCGUGCUUAACAUAUGCAAGUCGAACGGGCCUGUCUUCUUUUUUGGGGGUGGGUUGAGUGGCGAACGGGUGAGUAUCACGUGAGUAACCUGCCCUUCGGUCCUGGAUAACCGCUUGAAAGGGCGGCUAAUACGGGGUGGUCCGGUUGGUCCGCAUGGGCUGGUCGGGAUAGAUUCACUGUUUUUGGUGUUUCGGCGGGGGAUGGGCUCGCGGCCUAUCAGCUUGUUGGUGGGGUGAUGGCCUACCAAGGCGGUGACGGGUAGCCGGCCUGAGGGGGUGGGCGGCCACACUGGGACUGAGGUACGGCCCAGACUCCUGCGGGAGGCAGCAGUGGGGGGUAUUGCACAAUGGGCGGAAGCCUGAUGCAGCGACGUCGCGUGAGGGAUGGAGGCCUUCGGGUUGUGAACCUCUGUUUCCGGUGGUGAAGGCCCUGUCCGUGUGGUGGGGUUGACGGUAGCCGGGGAUGAAGCGCCGGCUAACUACGUG
rnacentral:rRNA from 1 species